rnacentral:rRNA from 2 species
CACGUAGGCCGCUUUGUAAGUCAGGGGUGAAAUCCCACGGCUCAACCGUGGAACUGCCCUUGAAACUGCAGAGCUUGAAUCCUGGAGAGGGUGGCGGAAUUCCUGGUGUAGGAGUGAAAUCCGUAGAUAUCAGGAGGAACACCGGUGGCGAAGGCGGCCACCUGGACAGGCAUUGACGCUGAGGUGCGAAAGUGUGGGGAGCAAACA